GGUCCGAUGGUCCAGCCGGUUACGACUUUCGGUUUUGAUCCGAACUACCUGGGUUCGAAUCCCAGUCGGACCUA